GGUUUUAAGGGUCAUAACCUGGUUCACUCAGUGGUAAUUGCUGAAGCAAUUGCAGUUCUUCACGGACUUCAAUUCGCCAUUGACAUGGGUUUUUCAAAAGUGGUCCUUAAGAGUGAUUCCAGGUUGGUAGUCCAAAAUAUUCAAAAGAGAAAUGAGGACUAUUCAGAAACCAGACCUUUUACCUGGGAUGUGCAGAAUUUGGCGAGGAACUUUUCUUAUUGUCAAUUCCAGUUUAUUGCGCGGGAAGGUAAUAAAGCAGCACAUGCAAUGGCGGCUAAGGGUUUGCGAGCCGAGGAGGACUUGCUGUGGGUUGAGGAUGCGCCUUUGAAAGCCAUGGAAGCGGUCGAUUAUGAUCGACGUUUCAGUCGACCACCAUAGUCUUUGCUUUGGUUUUGCUGUUUAGGUUGAGAAAUUCUGAAAUUUGGCUGACUGUCUCAACUAAUCUUCGUUCUCGGGGUGAUUUAUUACCGAGUUUAGGGGUUUUUUGCCGUUUAUUGGGAGGGUUCUUGGACAUGAGAAAAGCCUAAAAUUUGUUGGCUAGAGAGGAUGAUGUUUCUGUUUCCUUGUUCUUUCCGUUUUGUUUUUCUUCUUUUUGUUUUUGUUUAGUUCAUGUUGUGACUAUUUUUUGGAUCUUCUCCGGGUGGUUUUUUAGGCUUA
rnacentral:lncRNA from 1 species